GAUGAACGCUAGCGGGAGGCCUAACACAUGCAAGCCGAGCGGUAUUUGUUCUUCGGAACAGAGAGAGCGGCGCACGGGUGCGGAACACGUGUGCAACCUGCCUUUAUCUGGGGGAUAGCCUUUCGAAAGGAAGAUUAAUACCCCAUAAUAUAUUGAGUGGCAUCACUUGAUAUUGAAAACUCCGGUGGAUAGAGAUGGGCACGCGCAAGAUUAGAUAGUUGGUGAGGUAACGGCUCACCAAGUCAAUGAUCUUUAGGGGGCCUGAGAGGGUGAUCCCCCACACUGGUACUGAGACACGGACCAGACUCCUACGGGAGGCAGCAGUGAGGAAUAUUGGACAAUGGGUUAGCGCCUGAUCCAGCCAUCCCGCGUGAAGGACGACGGCCCUAUGGGUUGUAGACUUCUUUUGUAUAGGGAUAAACCUACUCUCGUGAGAGUAGCUGAAGGUACUAUACGAAUAAGCACCGGCUAACUCCGUG
rnacentral:rRNA from 1 species